rnacentral:misc_RNA from 1 species
GAAAUGCGAUAAGUAAUGUGAAUUGCAGAAUUCAGUGAAUCAUCGAAUCUUUGAACGCACAUUGCGCCCGCCAGUAUUCUGGCGGGCAUGCCUGUUCGAGCGUCAUUACAACCCUCAGGCCCCGGGCCUGGCGUUGGGGAUCGGCGGAAGCCCCCUGCGGGCACAACGCCGUCCCCCAAAUACAGUGGCGGUCCCGCCGCAGCUUCCAUUGCGUAGUAGCUAACACCUCGCAACUGGAGAGCGGCGCGGCCACGCCGUAAAACACCCAACUUCUGAAUGUUGACCUCGAAUCAGGUAGGAAUACCCGCUGAACUUAAGC